GCCCGACUGGCGCAAUUGGCUAGCGCAUACGACUUCUACAAGAACUCUUCAAAAAACCUGACCAUUCCGAAUGGAAAAGGGAAGUGGAUCGAGAGAUCGUGAGGUUGUGGGUUCGAGUCCCACGUGGGGCU